UGUAGUGUGGCCGAGUGGUCUAAGGCGCUGGAUUUAGGCUCCAGGCUUGAAAGAGGCAUGGGUUAAAAUCCCACCACUGCCA
rnacentral:tRNA from 1 species